GUCUUCCGGGGGAAGGUCCUUUGAGGACAAAUCCUUGGGGGUAGCUUUGAGGCAAGGGUGGGGAGAGGGAAAGGCCUGGGCUGGGAGGCACGCCCCCAUGAGCCAAGGGUAGGGAAGGAGCCUGUCACCAGGAAUGAUGGUAGGGUUGGGGCCAGGGAGCUGAAGCUGACUUGGGAACGGGCUCACAGGCAGGCUUGGCUUCCCUGAAAGAGCUGGGGUCAUCAGCCCAGGGGGUAAAAGCAGAGGGUGUCCAGGCUGGGCCUGGCUGAGCAAGGCUGGCUCCUUCCUGUUACCAUCUUCGGGGCUGAGAGCCUGGGAUCAGCCUUUGAGGGUGAGUGGAGGGCAGGACUUGGCCGUGAAGGGAUGACCAGGGCUACCGUUUACACACACAAAGCAGGGACAGUCCCUUGACCCUGGGUCAGAGCCUGGAAGGGAGUGGAACUGGUCUGUCCUGGCCUUGACCCUGCCCCACCCGGUCCCUUGGGCCAGGCUCUGAGCAAGGAGAAUGGACUUCUGCCUUCCCCACUCUGGCCCUGGCCUCCCUCCAGCAGUGUUUGGAAGCCUCCUUUUUGUCCCCUCUGGCUUCCCCACUCAAUAUCCUUCCUCCUUCUGACCUCCAGUCUUCUGUUCAUGCCUUCCAUCCCCCUAGAGGGUCCCACUCCCAUUCCAUCCCAUUGUCUGAACCAUUUAACCCUAACUUCUCUUUCCAACUUCUAUGUAUCCAUCAAAGCCCUGGCUCCAAGGCUCCCACCUCUGUAAGGCCUUCCCUGAUCUCUCCCCCCAGUUCCUCUUCAAGUGUGUAACUCUGUGCCAAGCCCAUGUGGUGGGACCAUUCUGAGCCCCAGAUAAGACUUGGAACCAAGCCUGCCCUCAAGGAUGUCCAAAGCUGGAGAAAGAGCUGGACACAGACAAUUCCAGCCCCCUGAGGUCAGGGCUGGGCCAGAGAGAGCAACAACAGGACUUAAGGGAGCCCAGAAGGGACUGGUCCCUCCUGAUACCAUGUCCAAACGACGUGAGAGGAAGUCUCGCCAUCCUUGCUUCUAAGGAGCGUUCUGGUUGUACUUCUUCCAAGACAGGUUUGUUGGUUCUCUUGGCAGUCCAUGGUAUAUUCAAUAUUCCUUGCCAGCAACAUAAUUCAAAGACAUCAAUUCUUCAGUCUUCCUUAUUCAUCGUCCAGUUUUCACAUGCAUAUGAGACAAUUGAAAAUACCAUGGCUUGGGUCAGGUGCACAUUAGACCUCAAGGUGACAUCUUUGCUUUUUAACACUUUAAAGAGGCUUUUUGCAAGCAGAUUUGCCCAAUGCAGUGCAUCUUUUGAUUUCUUGACUGCUGCUUCCAUGGCUGUUGAUGGUGGAUCCAAGUAAAAUGAAAUCCUUGACAACUUCCAUCUUUUCUCCCUUGAUCAUGAUGUUGCUCAUUGGUCCAGUUGUGAGGAUUUUUGUUUUCUUUGUGUUGAGGUGUAAUCCAUACUGAAGGCUGUGGCCUUUGAUCUUCACCAGUAAGGGCUUCAAGUCCUCCUCACUUUCAGCAAGCAAGGUUGUGUCAUCUGCAUCACGCAGGUUGUUAAUGAGUCUUCCUCCGAUCCUGAUGCCCGAUCUUCUUCAUAUGGUCCAGCUUCUCCGAUUAUCUGCUCAGCAAACAGAUUGACUAGGUUCUGCAUGAGCACAGCUAAUCCGUUGCCGUUGACUCAUAGCGACCCUGUAGCACAGAGUAGAACUGCGCCAUGAGGUUUCUCAGGAGUGGCUGGUAGAUGCGAAAUGCCGGUUGGCAGCUGAGCUCUUCACCAGUGUGCCGCCAGGGCUCCAGCAGGUUCCGCCUGAGCACAGUGAAGUGUUCUGGAAUUCCCAUUCUUGGCAAUGUUACCCAAAUUUGUUAUGAUCCACAGAGUUGAAGGAAACCCCGGUGGCACAGCGGUUAAGAAUGCCUUUGACAGUCAGUAAACACAGGUAAAGAUCUGUCUCAUAUUCCCUGCUUUCAGCCCCGAUGCAUCUGACGUCAGCACUGAUAGCC